AUCUGAUUGGGCAGCACGUAUACUAGAAUUGGAACCAUCCUGAGAAGAUCAUCAUGGCCCCUGCACAAGGAAGCCAUGCAAAUAUGUGAACGUUCAAAUGCAUCU
ensembl:snRNA LOC120096757 U6 spliceosomal RNA